rnacentral:lncRNA from 1 species
AAAAAAAAACAGAUAACAGGGGAGAAGACUCCCGAAGGGAGUCUUCUUCCUCCUCUCGUCGGCUCCCAAUCAGAGUCGGAGAUGAGUUCCCUCCGGCUCUAUUUAAGGAGGAGAACCCUCCUCUCUCCUCUCAUCAAGAAAUCCUGGGGCAAAACGGCGGCAAUCGUCGGAAAUUCCUCACGGAGACCCGUCGCUGUGCCGUCCAAUUUCUCGUCGGAAAAGCUUCGCCGGCGACGGAGGUAAGCCUCCUCCUCUUCCUCUCUUCUCCCCCUUCCUUCCCGUGCCGAUGUGCACGCUCGUCGGCGAUCGGAGUCGUCGGAUUUUGUUGCG